UACAGAGGUCCCGAGCGUUGUUCGGAUUCACUGGGCGUAAAGGGUGCGUAGGUGGCAUAGAAAAGUUUGAUGUGAAAGCUCAGGGCUUAACCCUGAAAUGGCAUUGAAUACUGCUGUGCUGGAGGUUUGGAGGGGGGACUGGAAUUCUUGGUGUAGCAGUGAAAUGCGUAGAUAAUCAGGAGGAACACCGAUGGCGAAAGGCAGGUCUCUGGGCCGAUACUGACGCUGAGGAGCGAAAGCGUGGGGAGCGAACAGG
rnacentral:rRNA from 1 species